UCCUUGUUUUAUAGCCGGUGUAAUGUCAAAAUGCUUUCGGAGCGUGCGAUUGUUAUACAUACGAAGAUUUCUGCUGCUUUAUGUAGCGUAAGUGCCACGAUGUAGAAAGUAUGUAUGGAAGAUACUUAGUAAUACUGGAUUUUUUUCACAGCUAACAACUCUUAUUUAAUAUGAUAGCCAUAAAAUUUUUCAUACGUAAGUACAACUAUGCUAUCUAAUGGAAAUGCUACAAGCCUUAAAUGUAUACAAGAUGCAACUAAAUCCAAGAUGUCAAACACGGGCGCCCACUCGAGUUGUCAUUUAGAGGAAACGAUCACAGGUCACCAUUUAAGCCAACAGCAUUAUUUCGUAAUUCUGAGUAAAUAGAAGCUGGAAUUGUGAAAUCAGCCUCAGCAGAAACCAGAAGUAUGGGCUGUCAGUUAUCUUUUUGGGGACAUUUGACCAUUUUUUAGCUAACAAGGAAACAUUUUGGAUGUUUCCAGAGAAGCACUUUCGAGUUUAAGGGCAAUUUUUAAUUUUUAGCUGAUUCAAAUAGUACUAUUUGUCUUUGUAUAAAUGGGUGCCCUGAUAAACUGUUAGUUUGGUUAAGAAAUCAGAUUUUCUGCUGUAGACUGAACGUUACGUCAGCUGCUCAUUAUCUUUAUAUUUUCUUUGAAUUAUUUUUAAUUUUUCUCCUUUAAAUGUUAUAACGUUAAUCACUUUAAGUUUUGAUAAAACGUCGUUGUUUAAAGAGAUCUUGAAAUCAUUACGCUACUAAAAUAAUUUCGCAGUGACUCUGGGCUGCCAGUAUUGAUGUAAGAUCAGGUUUGGUUUCAUUGAUUACGUCAAAAUGCGCGAGGGUGACCUGCCUAAGAAGAGGGAUGCCUUAAGGGAAGACCUUCUAUAGGAAGCUGGCUCUUGUCUAUGCUACAUAUAGCGAAAACCAUAAAAGUGUCCAUACAAUCAGCCUGUUCGCAGCAUUUGAUUUCGAGUCGAACUACCUGAAAUCCUGAAAUCAGCUGAGUUGGCCUCCGCCUCAGAGUAUUACAUAGUUCAUACAGAAUUGGUUACCAACUCAGCAGUUUUAGGCCCUUGAAGAUAUUAAUUGCACUGUGCUUUUUAGAAAGCUGAAGCUCUUACCUAACGUACAUAAUACAAAUAUAAAAUAUAAAAGCAAAUAUGUGAUGCAAUUACAUAAUACAAAUACAUAAAACAUUCUUGAAUAAGUACUAAAACAUAGCUGAGUUAUUAAAACAUUACACAAAAGUGAUUACAUCUUAUGAAACUAAUGUGUGCUCCCAAUACCUCUACUUUAUACCUAUACAUUGUACAUUUACCUGUACUUGAUAGAUCAAUAACUUGUACCAUAUUAUUACAUAACUAUAUUAUUACAGAAAUGCAUUAUACAGCAUGUACAAAUACAAUAUAUUAUCAAUCUACUUCUUCGCGAGUAUUUUUACAAAGUAAUGCAUUAUACAGCAGGUGCAAGUACAGUGUUUUAUCAAUCUACUUCUUAACGAGUACUUUUUUUGCAUUCUUAGGUAAAUACUAAAGCCUGUUUCAAGUACUGAUACAUUACACACAUGCAAAUUUACCUUACAGUAUAUAGUACUUUAUCCAAUCACCUAUACUUUAUAAUAUUACUGUGCAUAAUACAAAACAAAAACAGAAACAAAACAAAAAACUUCCAAGUACAUUUAUAAUACA